UUACACAUUACACUGUGAACCACGCAGCCAAGUGGCAGUGCUAGCUUGAGUUUGGAGGCAGUCACAUGUUCAGGCCAGCAGGGGCCUGGAAGACUUGCAAGUAUACAUCCUGCUAACAGUCUGGAAAAUACCAUUGUUCCAAGAGUUAAGAAUCUGGGACAUUUAUAUGAAGAUGUCUGGAAAUACACGGGAAAUAGGAGAAAGGAAUGAGACAGAAAACGAUCCAUCUGCUUUUGUUAGAUGAUCUCUGCAAAUUGGUGCACCCUGAUCGGACGCAAGGAAUACCAUCAAUAUACUCAAUCACCUCCAACAAAUAACCAUGAAGUCAACAGUAGUGGAAAAGGUGAUGGUAACUGCGUGCCAAAUACCAUUAUGGCAGAGGGUUCAAGCUGCUCCCUGAAUUCCAGGACAGUUAUCUAGAGAUAAUACUACUGACAAGUAAUGACAAGAGGUGGAGGGAAGGCACCUGUAUGCAAAGUGGACCACUGAAGUCAAACUUGGCAGAAGUAAAGGAACAGCUCUGUUUUCUCAACUGUCAUUCACUGAAAACAACGGUCCACAAAGGAUGUUCCUAAUGAAUCCAAUCACAGGGACUCGGGGGAAACAAGGGGACCUGGCAACAACUGUGAAAGUAAUUCCUUGUUUAGAGACCUCUGUGCGCUGGCAAAGGCAAUGCAGGAAAUCCAGUAGCACAGACAUCUCAGAAUCACACAAAGUGGAAGAGCACCAUUUAGUAAUUGCCUAGAAAUUUCAAAGACUAAAUGAAAAAUAGAAUUCAGAUUGUUUGGCUCCAGCUCUCAAGAUCUAGACACACCUUUUAUAUUUGGGAUCCAACCAAUGCAAACCGCAUUAGUGCAACUUCCGUGCCUGCCCCUGGUGACCUCAGGAAGCAUGAGCAGAGAACAACUUCAGUUCAUCUACAGGAAAUGGUUAAUUGGAAAUGAUGAGGCUCCAGGAAAGUCCUAUAUAACCAGAUUUAUUGAUUGAUUAAGAGCUAGAAGAUUGAUCUUCUCAGCAAGAAAUGGAGCAGCUGGAAAGAAAUAGUAUGUCUCCAAAGCGAUCACUAUUGCUGCAGGAUGUCUAUCUCUGUGCUGCGACCCUAAUGGUGUGAAGAAGUCUACAGAGUCUGUGAUGCUGGCUCAGGUAUCCCGGCCUAGAGUUGCAGCUGUCCAAUCGUGUGCAUAUGUUCUGCAGCCUUCAGCUCCAAGCCUGCACAGCCUACUGCAAAUCCACAUCCCAAUGGUGCAAACACCCUGAUGAGGCAUGCAAGCCCUGAGCAAACCCUUCAGCACCUUUACAAAAAAAAUUCCAGUUUCUGCUAUAAACUAAAUUUCAAGCUGUGCUAGCUGUAGAGAAAAAGUAGAAAACUUGAGCAUUAAAAACUUAAAAUCAGAAGGCAAAUUAGGAUGAUUUUUAUAAUUUUUGAGAUGUAUUAUUUUUAAACCACUUUCAUGCUUUCUGUGAUCCUGACUCAAGAUUUUGAAAACUUGCAGUUAGUAAUAACAAUCAAGAGCUUGAUUUAGCAGUCUGAUAUCACCUGUUUAAAUUAGGCUGUCAGCUACACAAAAUCUAUGCUUGAGUCAGUUAGUCUAAGGUGCCACCAUGCCAUGCUUUGUGCCUGGUUUCACACUAAAAUAUCUAGCUAUCAUUGUCCUUUCAGUUACUUUAUUUAUGGUUCAUUCAGCCAUAUUCCUAAGUUUUUGUCCCAGACUUCUCCAACUGCUGCUUCCUAGGUUCUUCAUAACUUCCGUUCUUAUAAAACAAUAAUCUCUCUCUAGCUGAGAGGAAGGCAACUCAUUUUAUGCCAGGUAUUGGGCCAGCUGCUUGUCACUUCACCUUGGAGAUUGUAUGCUCCAGGUGAUACUUUACUUGAGGGCUCCUUAUCUCAGUUCUGUGUGAGUUUAGAAAGGGGUCCCCCUCCCGUCACCACCGGUCUUUUGUAUAGUUCUUUCUGGCUCAAGACCAAUAGCUUCCCUGCCUCAAUUGUUUAUGGAAGAUCUUUGGGUGGAUGCCACUUUAUGAUGUCAUCUGUGUAGCAUGAACUGAACUAAUGUAGCUAAUGUUAACAUAGAGUGUAAUAAUAGUAAAAUAUAACCAUGUUAGUCUUGUCCUGUAAGCAACUUGAAAACUCCAUUUUGUAUCCUUCUGCUUGACGUAAGUGAAUGAACUCUGCAUGGCCUUUAUGUACAAGUGUGUGUGAAAGGGUGAAUGGUGAGAGAAUGGCAUAGAGACAGGAGAAAAAAAAAUUAACUGUUUAUGUAAGCAACAAGGCAUCAAAUUUAAGUUAUCAUUCAGUAAACUAAUUAAUGAAUGGCUGAAGAAUCCCUUUGAAGCUUACGGGCACAGAGAAAAUAACAGAAGAAGAAAUUCUGCCAGACGGGCAACAAGAACACUCCAAGGCUAAGAUAGCUGAAGACAAAAGAAGAACAACCACAAAAACAGAAGCUGGGUAUGAAAAAAUCCCAAAGCCCUGAAACAAAGGAUGUCAAUCCCUAUAAAACAGGCUUGUCCAACAUAUGGCCUGCCAUUUUCUUAGGCCCAAGGUGCUGCGAUGAGAAACAAAAGUAAACACUGCUUGCUUUCGUUCCCACCCCUUGUCCCUCCCCCAGCCCCACAGCAGCUUCCUAAUGGCUGCUGAAGGGCUGGGGAAGGGACAAGGUUCCCACAUGCACCGCAUCAAAUUGACGUUGCCGACAUGGUAUGGCUCCUCCCCUCCCCCUUCAUUUCACAGUGUCUCUUCCUAGCCCCACCCCUCCCUUCCUCAUUUGCAUACCAGCCCCGCCCUGCGCUGGUCCCCACCGGCCGCAUGGGCUGGAGCAGGUCUCAGUGCAGCAGGCGGGCGGGUGUGGGGGGCAUGGAUGCCAGCUCGGAGGGAUGCUGUGGCUGGGCCCACGGGAGAUGUUGCUGCCACUGCUGCUGUGGCUGUGGCUAUCAGGUCGGGAAGCUGGCACCGCUCCCACCUCCCCGCAUCCCCCUGCGCAUGCAGACAUUGCACUGGGGAUAGUGAGUCAUGGGCCCCAGGGAGGGAAGGAGCCCUGUCAGUCGGGCUCGGGCUCAGGCUGCCCCUGGGGAGUGGGAGCAGGGGGUUGUCCCUGCAUGUCCCAUACCUCCCUGUAGGAUCCCUGCGUGUCCUCCUGGCUGCUGAGCCCAGGCGCGCAGGUGUGGGAGCAUCAUUGAGGCCACCCAGGUGGCAGGGAGGACACAGAGGGGUCAGGUGGCGCCCCUUGACCCCUGUACCCCCAGGCCGUACAAGCACCUGCUCCUGCUGGUGCACUGGGUGAUAAAAAGUUCAUGAUCCAUGCUCACAAUCAAAAAGGUUGGACACCCCUGCUAUAAAAGAACACUUUGAAAAUGCCAAGUUGGGUGAGUCCCUUUCUCUACUGCAGUUUCAUCGGAGCACAGAUGCAUCUGUUCACCCGCUCCAGCUGUUAUCUUUAAAUCUGCUAUCUUCAAAUCAUCAUCAAUUGCUCAAUAAACCUGAGUUAGCCACCCUGGGCUGAUAUUGAGCAACUAUUGCUGGUAACUAUAUCUGGUGUAUGUGUGGAUGAAAUGGUUGUUUUGUGUAUGUGUAUGCCUCUGUGUAAUGAUGUGUAUGAUGAUUUGUGUGUGUUUGUAUGAAUGGUGUGCCCGAACCUCUAUGUCUAACUCAUGUAAUCAAUAAACAUGGCACCUUGCCUUAUUCCCCUUUAUAAAGUCUCACUCAUGAUUUGAGCAAUUGGC